GAAUGCUGACAUAAGUAACGAUAAAGCGGGUGAAAAGCCCGCUCGCCGGAAGACCAAGGGUUCCUGUCCAACGUUAAUCGGGGCAGGGUGAGUCGACCCCUAAGGCGAGGCCGAAAGGCGUAGUCGAUGGGAAACGGGUUAAUAUUCCCGUACUUGGUGUUACUGCGAAGGGGGGACGGAGAAGGCUAUGUUGGCCGGGCGACGGUUGUCCCGGUUUAAGCGUGUAGGUGUGUGUUCCAGGUAAAUCCGGUUCACUUUAACACUGAGGCGUGACGACGAGGCACUACGGUGCUGAAGCAACAAAUGCCCUGCUUCCAGGAAAAGCCUCUAAGCAUCAGGUAACAUCAAAUCGUACCCCAAACCGACACAGGUGGUCAGGUAGAGAAUACCAAGGCGCUUGAGAGAACUCGGGUGAAGGAACUAGGCAAAAUGGUGCCGUAACUUCGGGAGAAGGCACGCUGACACGUAGGUGAAGUGAUUUACUCAUGGAGCUGAAGUCAGUCGAAGAUACCAGCUGGCUGCAACUGUUUAUUAAAAACACAGCACUGUGCAAACACGAAAGUGGACGUAUACGGUGUGACGCCUGCCCGGUGCCGGAAGGUUAAUUGAUGGGGUCAGCGCAAGCGAAGCUCCUGAUCGAAGCCCCGGUAAACGGCGGCCGUAACUAUAACGGUCCUAAGGUAGCGAAAUUCCUUGUCGGGUAAGUUCCGACCUGCACGAAUGGCGUAAUGAUGGCCAGGCUGUCUCCACCCGAGACUCAGUGAAAUUGAACUCGCUGUGAAGAUGCAGUGUACCCGCGGCAAGACGGAAAGACCCCGUGAACCUUUACUAUAGCUUGACACUGAACAUUGAGCCUUGAUGUGUAGGAUAGGUGGGAGGCUUUGAAGUGUGGACGCCAGUCUGCAUGGAGCCGACCUUGAAAUACCACCCUUUAAUGUUUGAUGUUCUAACGUGGACCCGUUACCCGGGUUGCGGACAGUGUCUGGUGGGUAGUUUGACUGGGGCGGUCUCCUCCUAAAGAGUAACGGAGGAGCACGAAGGUUGGCUAAUCCUGGUCGGACAUCAGGAGGUUAGUGCAAUGGCAUAAGCCAGCUUGACUGCGAGCGUGACGGCGCGAGCAGGUGCGAAAGCAGGUCAUAGUGAUCCGGUGGUUCUGAAUGGAAGGGCCAUCGCUCAACGGAUAAAAGGUACUCCGGGGAUAACAGGCUGAUACCGCCCAAGAGUUCAUAUCGACGGCGGUGUUUGGCACCUCGAUGUCGGCUCAUCACAUCCUGGGGCUGAAGUAGGUCCCAAGGGUAUGGCUGUUCGCCAUUUAAAGUGGUACGCGAGCUGGGUUUAGAACGUCGUGAGACAGUUCGGUCCCUAUCUGCCGUGGGCGCUGGAGAACUGAGGGGGGCUGCUCCUAGUACGAGAGGACCGGAGUGGACGCAUCACUGGUGUUCGGGUUGUCAUGCCAAUGGCACUGCCCGGUAGCUAAAUGCGGAAGAGAUAAGUGCUGAAAGCAUCUAAGCACGAAACUUGCCCCGAGAUGAGUUCUCCCUGAGACUUAGAGUCUCCUGAAGGAACGUUGAAGACG
rnacentral:rRNA from 1 species